GGGCACUUCGUGUGUCAGCGGCAGACGGGUGAGUAACACGUGGGAACGUACCCUUUGGUUCGGAAUAACGCUGGGAAACUAGCGCUAAUACCGGAUACGCCCUUUUGGGGAAAGGCUUGCUGCCGAAGGAUCGGCCCGCGUCUGAUUAGCUAGUUGGUGGGGUAAUGGCCUACCAAGGCGACGAUCAGUAGCUGGUCUGAGAGGAUGAUCAGCCACACUGGGACUGAGACACGGCCCAGACUCCUACGGGAGGCAGCAGUGGGGAAUAUUGGACAAUGGGCGCAAGCCUGAUCCAGCCAUGCCGCGUGAGUGAUGAAGGCCUUAGGGUUGUAAAGCUCUUUUGUCCGGGACGAUCAUGACGGUGCCGGAAGAAUAAGCCCCGGCUAACUUCGUGCCAGCAGCCGCGGUAAUACGAACGGGGCUAGCGUUGCUCGGAAUCACUGGGCGUAAGGGCGCGUAGCCGCCAUUCAGUCGGGUGUGAAACCUGUGGCUCAACCACACAAUUGCCUUCGAUACUGUUUGGCUUGAGUAUGGUAGAGGUCGGUGGAACUGCGAGUGUAGAGGUGAAAUUCUUAUAUCUUCGCAAGAACACCAGUGGCUAACGCAGCCGACUGGACCAUUACUGACGCUUAGGACCGAAAGCGUGUGGAGCACACGGGAUGACAUACCCUGGUAGUCCACGUCAUAAAACAUGAAUGCUAGCUGUUGCGGUGCUUGCACCUCAAUAGCGCAGCUCACGCUUUAAGCAUUCCUCCUGCGGAGUACGGUCGCACGAUUAAAACUCAUAUGAAUUGACAGUC
rnacentral:rRNA from 1 species